CCUACGGGAGGCAGCAGUAGGGAAUAUUGCUCAAUGGGGGAAACCCUGAAGCAGCAACGCCGCGUGGAGGAUGAAGGUUUUCGGAUUGUAAACUCCUUUUGUUAGAGAAGAUAAUGACGGUAUCUAACGAAUAAGCACCGGCCAAUACCGUGCCAGCAGCCGUGGUAAUACGGAGGGUGCAAGCGUUACUCGGAAUCACUGGGCGUAAAGAGCGCGUAGGCGGGGUAGCAAGUCAGAUGUGAAAUCCUUUGGCGUAACCAUAGAACUGCAUUUGAAACUGGUAUUCUAGAGUAUGGGAGAGGUAGGUGGAAUUCUUGGUGUAGGGGUGAAAUGCGUAGAGAUCAAGAAGAAUACUCAUUGCGAAGGCGGCCUACUAGAACAAAACUGACGCUGAUGCGCGAAAGCGUGGGGAGCAAACAGGAUUAGAUACCCCUGUAGUC
rnacentral:rRNA from 1 species